GUACGCGUGGCCUAAUGGAUAAGGCGUCUGACUUCGAAUCAGAAGAUUGCAGGUUCGAAUCCUGUCUCGGACG
rnacentral:tRNA from 1 species